UUGGUCCUGACCCGGCCUGCACAGGGCGCCCUCAAGCCAGGCCUCUCAUGCCUUCUUUGCUUCCAGCAAAGAGCUGCGGCUCUCCGGCCAGCAUCACCUCCCUGUCCUCCUUGGCCGCUGCCCCAGCAGAGCCUCCGCCUCAGCCAAGUUCCACGCCCUUCCUGGGGAGCUGGUCCUUCAGACCUCAUACGAGCGAGCCCGUGGCACCCAAGUCCUGCACCACACGGUGCUGUGGGACGGGCAGGGUGUGGCCCUCAAGGGGAGCCUCAAUGGGAGCCUCUCCAUGCCCUUCCUCAAGCCCGCUGGGACCCUUGGUCUGCAGGGUGAGUCUCCCAGGUGCCACGCAUUCACCCAUUCACUCAGCAUCAUCACUGAGUGCUUGCUUAUCCCAGUAACUGUUCUAGGCACUGGGGGUCCAUUGGGAAGCAGCAUGGCCCAGGUCCCAGAUCUCAGGGAGGAGGGCUGUGAGCAGGGACACACACCGAACAAGAUAACAUCAGAGUGUCUCCAGGAGUGAGAACGCCUAUGAAAACAAGCAGGGUUUGGUUUUGGGGGUGGAGGGGGUGGAGCUCCUCCAGGUGGGUGGUCUGGGAAGGCUUGUCUCAGGAGGUGACUUUCAAGCUGAGCCCCGAGUGACAAGGUGAAGCUCUGGGGAGAUCAUCGUGGGCGGAAGAGGAGGAACAGCAGGUGCAAAGGCCCUGGGGUGGGAAUAGGUUUUGUGGCUGGAAGAAUAGCAGCAAGGUCAGUGUGGCUGGAGUGGACUGACGGGAGGAGCAGAGGGGAGAUGAGGUGGGAGAGGUUAGGGGAGCCAGGACACACAGGGUCUCAGCCUCUGACCAGGAGUUGGGGUUUAUCCUGGGUAUGAUAAGGCAGGAAGGCAAGGUUAGCGUGUGGAAGAUGUGGCAACCCCCUGCAUCCCCGAGGGCUUGCAAGCUGAGGCUGACAGACUGCAGGUUGGCAAGGGAGGUGAGUGUGGCCCCAGCAGGGGCACCCGUGACCCCCUGAGGCUCUCCAGGAAACAGCCCCAUCCCCAAGGGCCAUGCAGACACACGGGCUGUCAAUUCGUGUUUGAGGAGUCUGCGUACACAGAGCAGAAACUGACCUGCUGGCCUGCCAAGCGGGAGACGCAGUGCAGACCCUGGCCCGGGGCGGGCACGGCUUGCUGGGUGGCCCAGUGGGGUUCCCCGGGUCAGGGUUGCCACAUGUGUGCCCUCAAAGCAGAGAGAAAAAGAGGAUCCUCAGCACGCCAGGGCAGUGUUUGUCGUGCGUGCCCGUGUGUGCGUGUGUGAGUGUGUGCAUGCUCGGGGGUCCGUGGAUGGGCUGAGCAGCCUGUGGACCCUGCUGUGUGGUUACUGGGCGCAGAAACCAGCGGGUCAGGGGCAGAGGGAGUGAGGGGUUGCGGCUCUGCGUGUGGUCAGUGCUCCUGGACUGGUGACCAGAUGAUGCCUUGAGAACCAGCUUACAGCCACUGUCUCUGGACACAGCUCCCCAGGAUCCAUGUAGGAACAGUCCCCUUCCAGAGGGUUCAAAGGUGGUCUUUGUCUGCAGCAGAGUCUCAGGUGGACUCCUGCUCUGGGGGGUCUAGGAAGGCAGGAGCAGUUGGUGGCCUUAUGGGAUGGAGUUAGAUGGUGCCAGAGGUCAGGGCAGCUGGACUCAGGCUUCAGAGAUGAAGGAAGAAAAUCGAGGGCAAGGAGGCCGUGAGGCCUCAGCCAUGGGCUGUGUCGUACCCCAGGAUGGAACGAGAACAUGGGGCAGCUGAGUGUGACCAGGCGGGUGUGGCCGGGGUGUGGCCGGGGUGUGGCCGGGUGUGGCCAUUCAAAAUGGCCGGGGUAAUCGUGUGUGAGGGGCCUGAGAGUGAUAUUGGAAGGCAUAUCCGUCAGCUACUGCUGUGUAACGAAUGACCCCAAACUCAGUGACUUACAGAAGUAAGAAUUCAUCACUGCUAACAAGCCUGUGGGCAGCUCUCUGGUCUUGCUCAUGCAUCAGGGUCAGGCGCUAACUUGGAUAGGUGGUGCUGCUGAUUUUGGCUGAACUUUCUUACUUGUUCACGGGCUGGUUGGCUGUCGCCUGGUCUGGGACAGUCUCUGCUGAAACAUCCAGGCUCUCCUCUGUGUGGUGUCAGCGUCCGGCAGGCCAGCCUGGGUUUAAUCUCACCAUGGCUGGGCAGGGGUCCCAGAGAGCCAGAUGGAGCUGAGGCCUUAAGGCUGAAGCUGGGGAUUUGCAGUGUCAACUUCACCAAACUCUACAAGCCAGUCACGAGGCCAGCCCAGGUUCCAGGGCCAGGGCAACAAAUUCCACCUCCUGAUGGAGGAGAUACAAGGCUUCUUGAAGUCCUGGAAUGGGGCUCUCAUGGGGAUGCUGAUGGACUGUUGAGUGGCAUGGGGACCAAGUGAGGGGACAGCUUCUGAAUUUUGUGCAGAUUACGUGCGUGUGUGGCCCCAAAGUGGCCCCUGGCACCCUCUUGGCCUCAAGCUGAUGCCCCCCUCCCUGUACGCCCCUCCCUGCCCAGUGGAGCUCACCCACCCGCUGCCCCUGCCCCUUCCAUGGCACUGCAGCUUCCGCCUGACCUCCGAGCAUUCAGCACGCCGUCACCAGGAUGACCUGGUUGUGGCCUGGGACGGCAAGGACCAGGUAGGUGUUGGGCUGGAACAGGACCUGGGAAGCCCACCUUGUGGCCUGAGUGGGACAUUCGGGGCCCUGCCCUGCCCAGGAGCAUUAUGGGUCCAAAUGGGCUGAGCCCCGGUCCCCAAAGGACCACGGGAAGAGCACUGGCGGGGAGGAGGGAGCCUGGGUCCCAGCACCACCUGGAUGAUAACAGGAAGACCAGUGGCUGAUGCCGACGGCCUCUUGUGUGCCAGGCAGGCCAGCCCCCUUUCAUAGAUGAAACUGAAGCUCAGAGGGGAAUGGGGCUACUGAAAGGCAGGGCUGGGAUUCAGAUCCAUGAAAUGCUUCUAACCCCCAGUCCCCUCUCUGUCGUAUGCUUGUCCCUAUCUCCUGCUCUCCAAUCCUCAAGUUACUCCUCUGAAAAAUGGGCUGAAGCUCCCAGAGGGCCUCCCCCAGUGGUGGGCCAGCAGUCCUCACUCCCUUGACCCUGAUGAAGGAGGUGACCUGUGCUGGGUGGUGGAGAGGCCCUCUCUGGGGGAGGCCUCCCGCUCAGCCUGUCCCCUCCCCAGGUGGCGCUGUCCUCCUCUCUGCGGCUGGGGAAGGGCAAGCUGGCCGCCCGCCUGGCCCUGGCUCACCCUUUCAGCCUCUCCUGGCGGCAGGCCGAGGCCAGUGGCCUUGCUGAGAGCAGGGGCGGCAGGCAGAGCUGGCAGGUGAGCGGGGAGCAGCCACGGGGCCCUGGGUAGACGGCUCUUGGGGGUGGGUGAGCCGCGUGGCUGAGGCCAUGGGUGGGACAUCUGGGACCAUGUGCGGGGGAGGAGGAUCUUGUUUGUCCAUCAGAGACGAGGACGUCUCUGGAAUCACAGUGUCCUGAAGCUUGGAACCCCGGGGGGGCCUUGAUGCAUUCAUUCCUUCACUGGGACUGUAUUAAGCACCUAAUGUGUUCCAGGUCGUGUUGAGAUGCGGGUGUAGUCCCUGCGUUGAUAAAGCUCAUUUUAGGGGGAGGAGCAGUUCUCGAGCAUGUCUGGUUCAUCACUGAUGCGCUGGUUUGUUUAAUUGGUCACUGCAGGGGUUCACAUAGGGCAGCUUGGACUCUGCAUCUGACUGGGAGGCUCUGGGCAGUCUUCAGCACCUCUUUAAGCCUGGGGGUUUUUUUUCUGUGAAAUGGGAGACAGUAGGCCAGUGUGUGCCAGGCAAAAAGACCAGAACUCAAGAGAAUGAAUGAAUAAAAAAUUAAGAGUUGUGAUAAGCCCUAUAAAG
rnacentral:lncRNA from 1 species